rnacentral:snRNA from 1 species
GAGUAUGAGGGAGAUCUGAUUGUGAAAUCUGUUACCCCAUUGAUCUCUAUGGUUGAUUCGGCUUCUUAGGUGAGCACUCCCUCCCUCCCUCACUUCUCUAUGUGUAUCCCUAUCUCAAAACUGCUCACUCGGUUGAAGUGGAUGAACAUCUCCACUAGAGGAGGACCAUUCUUUAGUAUAGGGUUUAUGAGCCAUACGCACCCCUGCUAGAACUUCCCAACAAGCCCUCUCAAGAUAUCUGUUUGCUCCAAGACCACCAUGCAGGAGAGGUCAUGGGAGGGGCUCGGGUUGAAUGUUCCAGCUGAGCCCACCC